AACUAAACAAAACACGGUAGGUCUCAGUGCGAGAGAGCGCUUUUGUUCACAUAGGAGGCUGACAGCUAUUUGCAAUGAGGGGUUUUCGUUUGUUUGUUUGUUAUUCAAAUAACUUUUUCCCCCUGAGGAAACUGAAAGGGAAAAUGUCAGAAGUAUGUGAUUAAUGAUUUUUAAAAAUAGAUGGGAUCUCCCCGGUUGAACUGAAAAGUAGGUAUUGAAAAAGAAUCCAUUUCUAAAUGGUAGAUUUUCAUAUGUAAGUUUGAUAUUAAUUCUUUCAAAAGAGUUGUGCCUGUGAGUCAGAUAAAUGACAGGAAGGUCUGUCUAAAUACCAGCAUCCUCGGAAGGGCAGCUGUUCAGAAACAUUCUCAAAUCAUGAAGAUAAAUAGAACCGGAACACUGAUGAUUCCAUCAACUGAUGGUUCCUUUUAAUCAGAUCUUAAAGCAAAGACAGAAGCUGAAAACAUUUCUAGUAAAUAAACAGCAAAGAACUCUGAAUGCUUAGCCGACCAGAACCCCGGAAGGAGCCCGCCUGGUACUGCCAGGCAUGACUGCCUUCAGUGGAUUUAACAAUAAAAAAGAAGAUGGCGCCAAAUGACCAAACUACAUGCGACCUUCCCUUCCCGCAAGAAAAGUGAAUAAAACUUUCCACUGGGGCUGGGGGAGGAGGCAAGGCACCAGUCCAGAGAGAUAAAAU
rnacentral:antisense_RNA from 1 species